rnacentral:lncRNA from 1 species
UUCCACAGCCCAGAAACCAGGGCAGUUUGCCGGCCUGCCAGGCCCUCCAGCGCUUCUAUCAGCAGCUCUGAGUUGAUGGAUGAUACUCCUCUGAAAAACAGAGAAAUCCCUCAGAGCCUGGGUGGAGAGCUUCCUUUCAUUUGCACAGGUGAUGUUUUGGGAGCUUCACAAUUUUCCAAAAGCAAUCCAGCCCUCCAUCUUCUUCUUUUUAAAAUUUGGACUCAACUUCCUGUCCAUUUAUACCACUUCUAUGAUACAUACAUACUGAUGGAGAAGCUCCAUGUUUUUUCCAGCCAACUGAACGUCAUAACAUGGGUAAUAAGCACCCUUCAUCAACUUGGUCUUUCCUGUGUGGAUGAUGAAGCCAAACUAUUCUGAGUGGUUAUGGAUGCCUUCCAGGAGGUUCUGCAGUGUUCCAGGGCUUGAUGUAACCCGUACAAUGAAAUCUACCAACAAGAGUAACUGAACGACCUCACCAUCCACAGAGAAACAGGACUCUUCGUUGGAUCUCUAUCAAAGCAGCUACCUCUUUGGCAAGACUAUUGACUCCCUGUUUUAUGUCUUACCUGAUGUUUACAAUCAUUAGAUUAUUGAAUAUGAAUAUUUUUAGUCUACUUUUCAAGUAAUCUUGAAUGACUUUGGUAUAUGGAUGGGAGACACCACACUGGAAAUAAGCCUUUAAGGAAACCAUUUUGUGUUAUGAAAUCAAAUUCUUUUUCAUAAUGAUUGAAUGAUAAAUGUUCAAGCAUGAAUUAAGCACUUAUAAUUGCCAGACAUUGUGCAAAGUACUGGAGAUACAAAGAGAAGAAAGCAAAAUAAUGUUGUGUUCUAAUGUUCUAAUGGGGAGGAAACAGCCCAUAAAAGGGAGCCAAAAAAGGAGAAGAGGAAGGAUACACAUUCGUGACAUGGUUUGAAAAUGACUAGAAAGUGACUUGGAGCCUUGGUUUUGGGUAAGAGAAGGCAAAGGUUUACCUAUCAUGGCCCAGGGAGGUUCCAAGAAGAGAGUUCAAAGUUCUAGCAGGAUGGGGAUGAGUCAGAAGAGGAGGCCAAUUUGCAGGUGGUAUGCUUUUUACGUAAGCACUGUCCUAGGGUCUGAGAAUGCAAAGAUAUGAAAAAUAUAAGUCCUUGGUUUCAAAGAAUUUACUAUUGGUUCUACUACUCAAACUGAAAUCAUGGGGAGCCCCUUAAAUCAAUUGGGAUGCAUUAGAAAGAUCUACAUCCCCAUUGUCAUCAGGUUUAACUCAGUUCAUUUUAAAAGAUAGGUCUUAGGGAGACCAAAAACAUGGCUACUGUAAAAGAAAUGGUCAAAGCUUCAAAUACACCAAACACUGUCAGCAAAGUUUUAAGCCUUGAGGUAGACUGGGAAGUCGUGGUUUAACAUACAGCUGCCCCUAAAAAUUAUUUCAGCUGCUCCUGGGCACUUCAAAGUAAAAGCAAACAAACUUUUGGAUGCAGAAAAAAAAAUAAAACUCAAGCAUUUCAAAAAAAGAAGAAAGUC